CAGACUUAAAGCUCUCUACACACCAAGCCAAGCAAGCAGCAGAGCCAUUUCAGAGACCAGACUAGAUCCCCCCACCUCUUAUUUAGUCAUGGCCAUUGAAGACAAAGGAAUGACAAUCUCACCCAUGAGGACUUGGCCCGGUGUUUCUGUGAACCGCUGCUGCCACUGGUCGGGUUCCCCAGCAUCUUCUUAUACAUGGCCUGCUCUGCUCCCUUCUGCUCCGAGUUCUUCUUCACCAGUUUGGAAAGCUCUGCAUGGAUAGUCUACACAGGAGAGACAUGACAAAUGGAGCAUGAAAAAUGACACUAACAAUCCUUUCAAAGGGAAUAUGAACAGACAUGCUAAUAAUGGAUGAAUGAAGCGGGCCCUCAAAAUUCUCAGCGAGGUCAUUCAUUGCAUCCUUUAAAAAUAAAUACAGCUAGUAUUUUA